rfam:Lachnoclostridium sp. An76 An76_contig_5, whole genome shotgun sequence.
CGGAGUGUGGCUCAGCUUGGUAGAGCGCUACGUUCGGGACGUAGAGGCCGCAGGUUCGAAUCCUGUCACUCCGA